rnacentral:rRNA from 1 species
GGAGGGAGCGAGCGUUGUUCGGAAUCACUGGGCGUAAAGGGCGCGUAGGCGGCCGAGUAAGUCGUGUGUGAAAGACCGGGGCUCAACUCCGUGUACUGCAUGCGAUACUGCCCGGCUAGAGAAAGGUAGAGGCGAGUGGAAUUCCCGGUGUAGCGGUGGAAUGCGUAGAUAUCGGGAAGAACACCUGUGGCGAAGGCGGCUCGCUGGGCCUUUUCUGACGCUGAAGUGCGAAAGCGUGGGGAGCAAACAGGAUUAGAUACCCUGGUAGUCCACGCCGUAAACGAUGGGCACUAGGCGUUGGGAGGAUUGACCCUCUCAGUGCCGUAGCUAACGCGUUAAGUGCCCCCGCCUGGGGAUACGGCCGCAAGGCUG